AUCGAUGGCUCAGGAUGAACGCUAGCGGCAGGCUUAAUACAUGCAAGUCGUGGGGCAGCAGGUUUGUAGCAAUACAGAUGCUGGCGACCGGCAAACGGGUGCGGAACACGUACAGAACCUUCCUUUGAGCGGGGAAUAGCCCAGAGAAAUUUGGAUUAAUACCCCAUAGUAUAAUGAAGUGGCAUCACUUUAUUAUUAAAGAUUUAUCACUCGAAGAUGGCUGUGCGGCUGAUUAGGUAGUUGGCGGGGUAAAUGCCCACCAAGCCUGCGAUCAGUAACUGGUGUGAGAGCACGACCAGUCACACGGGCACUGAGACACGGGCCCGACUCCUACGGGAGGCAGCAGUAAGGAAUAUUGGUCAAUGGAGGCAACUCUGAACCAGCCAUGCCGCGUGGAGGAUGAAGGUCCUCUGGAUUGUAAACUUCUUUUAUAUGGGACGAAAAAAGGCUUUUCUAAGUCGUCUGACGGUACCAUAUGAAUAAGCACCGGCUAACUCCGUG
rnacentral:rRNA from 1 species